UAUAUAAAGUAAGGCUUUAGCAGUAUCUCACGAGCAAAACAGCGGUACCUUAGAUACAAGGUAUAAACUGGCCCAGAGCCUCCGGCAACAACAGAAAUUUAGGUUAUCUGAUAACAAACAAGCUAAAUUACUUCGAGACUAACACAUGUUUACAAGGAUAAAACAAUUUAGGUUAUCUGAUAACAAACAAGCUAAAUUACUUUGAGACUAACACAUGUUUACAAGGAUAAAACACUGCCUAAGAGUGUGCAAACACUUGCAUUUGAUUGCAAUGAAAUUACUUCAACAAACAUCACUUGGGCCAAAUUGAUGUCACUGAUAUGCAAAUACUCCUGGCAACCAAUAUUACCUUCGCUAGAGUGUUCUCAAAGCUUGCCUCUUCUUCUUCAAUUAUAUCUUUAAUCUUCUUUUCAUUGUCCUUCAGCUCAGGAAACACAUCACCCAUCACUCGGACAAAAACAUCUACAAGG
rnacentral:lncRNA from 1 species